rfam:Homo sapiens chromosome 14, GRCh38 reference primary assembly.
GCCAGGUGUGAUGGUAUGCACCUGUAGUCCCAGCUACUUGGGAGGCUGAGGUGGGAGGAUCACCUGAGCCCAGGAAGUCAAGACUGUGGUGAGCUGUGAUCAAGCCACUGCACUCCAGCCUGGGCAACAGAGUGAGACCCCAUCUCAA